ensembl:lncRNA
GACGGAGAGUGACGAAGGUAGACGAUGCCUGAGGGAGAGUGACGGGGAGCGACGGAGAGCGACGAGGGUAGACGAUGCCUGACGGAGAGUGACGGAGAAUGAACGGAGAGCGACGGGGAGCGAAGGGGAGCGACGCGGAGUGCCUGAGAGUGACGGAGAGUGACGGGGAGCGACGGAGAGUGACGGAGAAUGAACGGAGAGCGACGGGGAGCUACGAGGAGUGAAGGGGAGCGACGGGGAGCGAGGGAGAGUGACGGGGAGUGACGAAGGUAGACGAUGCCUGACAGAGUGACGAAAGUGACGGGGAGCGACGGAGAGUGAAGGAGGUAGACGAUGCCUGAUGAAGAGUGACGCAGAGUGACGGAGAAUGAACGGGGAGCGAGGGAGUGACGGGGAGUGACGAAGGUAGACGAUGCCUGACAGAGAGUGACGGAGAAUGAACGGGGAGCGACGGAGAGUGACGAAGUUAGACGAAGUUAGACGAUGCCUCACGAAGAGUGACGGAGAGUGACGGAGAAUGAACGGGGAGCGACGGGGAGCGACGGAGAGUGACGGAGGUAGACGAUGCCUGAUGAAGAGUGACGCAGAGUGACGGAGAAUGAACGGGGAGCGAAGGGGAGCGACGGAGAGUGACGGGGAGUGACGAAGGUAGACGAUGCCUGACGGAGAGUGACGGAGAUGACGGGGGGCGACGGGGAACGACGGAGAGUGACUAAGGUAGACGAUGCCUGACGGAGAGUGACGCAGAAUGAACGGGGAGCGACGAAGGUAGACGAUGCCUGACGGAGAGUGACGGAGAGUGACGGAGAAUGAACGGAGAGCGACGGGGACCGAAGGGGAGCGACGGGGAGCGACGGAGAGUGACGAAGGUAGACGAUGCCUGACGGAGAAGUGACGGAGAAUGAACGGGGAGCGACGGAAAGCGACGGAGAGUGACGGGGAGUGACGAAGGUAGACGAUGCCUGACGGAGAGUGACGCAGAGUGACGGAGAAUGAACGGGGAGCGACGGGGAGCGACGGAAAGUGGCGAGAAUGGACGGACAGGGACCGGGACUGACGGAUACUGACGAAGAGUCACGGAAAUGAUCCGAGGGCGACAAAGAGGAAGGCGAACUGGCGAGCUGAAGCAGGCCGAGCCUAAUCGGAGAUGACGGAAAGUGACGAAGAGGAACGAGGAGUAAAGAGGGGUGACGAAAAGAGCCGAAGCGGUUGAAGGCGAAGAGCUGAGUGAGGGAAGACCGCAGAGGGGUCUUCUAUUCAUGCCAUCCAUGAGAGACCCCCGUACUCUUCUGACGCAUUCCCAUGUUGCUGAAGACUCAGUGUCGUCUUUGUUACUGUGACGUUGCGUGUUCGCGGUGUGCUGCAGUAUUCUGUUUUUCCAGCGUAUCCAAGGAGACGUGUAGUGCCUAAGAGUGUGAGUGCUACAAAAAGGGUGGUUUGUUCCAACCCAAGCUUGACCAUGACUGGUUCUCUCAUAUGGGUCAAGUUCCCUAAACUUCUCUGUGCCUCAGUUUCCUUGGCAGAAGAACAGGGACCGCCGGGCGCGGUGGCUCAAGCCUGUAAUCCCAGCACUUUGGGAGGCCGAGACGGGCGGAUCACGAGGUCAGGAGAUCGAGACCAUCCUGGCUAACACAGUGAAACCCCGUCUCUACUAAAAAAUACAAAAAACUAGCCGGGCGAGGUGGCGGCGCCUGUAGUCCCAGCUGCUCGGGAGGCUGAGGCAGGAGAAUGGCGUAAACCGGGAGACGGAGCUUGCAGUGAGCUGAGAUCCGGCCGCUGCACUCCAGCCUGGGCGACAGAGUAAGACUCCGUCUCAAAAAAAAAAAAAAAAAAAAAAAAAA